rnacentral:tRNA from 1 species
GCCUCUGUAGCUCAAUGGAAGAGCAGUUCCGUCCUAAGGAAAGGGUUGGGGGUUCGAGUCCCUUCAGGGGCA